rnacentral:lncRNA from 1 species
GGGACCUGGCAGCAGCAAGUCUGAGACCGAGAUCGGCUCCCCGCGUCCUGAGCAUGCAAGUCAAGGAGCACGAAGCUGAGACAUUUAAAAUCAGUAGAAAAAAAUACAUAACAUUUAAAUAGAAAUACAAUUUAAAAAUAAUAGAAGCCUAAAAUGCAAGUAGAAAUGAAAGGCAAGCACAUCGGUAAUGUCGUUCUCAGAGCAAGACACAAAAAGACAAUUAAAAAAUAAGCAAAAAUUGCUGACAACCAUUCCUACAAAGAAGAAAUUACAAAUGUUUGUAAUGCAAUCCUACGAUUAGGAUAUCCCUAUCCGAUCUAAACCAGUACAUGUUACACCUAAGUCUAAAUUUCCUACCAAAUUAAAUAAAUAAAUAAAUAACAGUCAUGGUUAAACCUGUUUAGCUUAGACUAUAAAAUGGUAGGAAAAAAAGUCGCUUUCGGCGGGACUUGCUAUUGUCAACUGGGGCUUGGCAAAACUGAAAAAUCCCGUUUGCCUGCAUUUCCUGACUUCCAGGGGAGUUUAAAAAACACAGGCCUAGCUAAGGCGGGACCCGCUAUUGUGAAACCAAACUUAGUAUAAGAGCUCCCAGGCCCUGCUAAACUGGUCAUCGCUAAGCAAAAAAAAAAAAAAAAACCGCAUUCGCUGGUACCCAGAUUUCUACAGGAGUUAAACGUCUCCUGAGCAGCUAAAGCAGAGCUUACUAGUAAGAAACUUGCAAUGACUAAGGAACUUGAGGCAGGGCUAACCCGGGGUUGUUAGGAUUAGAAUUCCGAGGCUACAGGAAACCCGGAAUUGCUGAGAUGUGAGUCACAGGGUGACUCAGCCUCGUUACGAUGAAACAGUAACUUCCUACUACCUAGAAAUCGCAGCCAGGGCCAGACCGGUGUUUGUCCUAAGUCGGAACUUGAUUGGGCUGAGAAAUCACAUUGUGACUAUUCCACGACUUGAACAAGGGGUAGAAAUCGCAGGCACCGCGAAAUAGAAACUUCCUAGGACCAAGAAGCCAACGACGCCCGAAACCGUGGGGUCCUGUCACAGAAACCCCAGCAGCGCAGCCACCGGACUGGGUUCUGGAGGCCGAGCCGCAGUCCGUGCGGCGGCGCUGGGAAGAGAAGGCGCCCCGGCAGCUCCCCUGCCACCGGCCCCGAGGAGCGGCUGGCUCCCCCAGCCCAGCGCCGCCGCCGCCCGGUAACUCCAGGCGCAACUGGGCGCAACUGGGGCAGCUGCGACACCGAAUCCCUCACAUCUGCAACCUGGGUGCUGCGGCCACUGAGAAAAUGGAGGCGCAGACCAACGAGCGGUGCCGCGACCGAGAGACCUCGGCUGGCGAAAUGGUGGUGCCGGGAGCCUGCGAGUGACGCCAGCCGGCGGGGUUGUCAAGGACAACAUUCGUUUUGACGCAGCCAAUGGCGCCGUCACCAAGAAACCAUCGACUCUGAGAAAAAAGAGAGGUUCGGCCACCGAGAAACUCCGUACGACAAGUGCUGUGGCAGAAAAACCGCCUACUCCGCGCCACAGGCAAAACAGCCAAUGGAAACCCCAGGUGCUGCGACCGUGACACCGGCACUAGAGGGUCUCGGAUGGAGAAAGCGGCGCACGGAGACCAGGAAACUAUGUGUAGCACAACUAGCAGAAAACCGUCUGGUCGGCCAUCCGGGAGAAAGCGCGGAUCAGAAACAAGCGACUUCGAUGCAGGGAACCGCGCAGCCACUGAAGAAAGUGACCCACGUGGCAGUGGUGCCAGCGAAACACUGCAGUUUGGACGGCAGCUGUGGGGAUGCCACAGAGAAACAUGCACUGCCACUGAAGUACAUCCAGCUCCGCGGAGCUAGUGUUCAUAUGAUCAAGAAACCGCCAGUUGGGCUCUGCUAGAAACUUUUAGUCCUCCCUUAACGGCUAUCCUACCCACAACAGACAAUGCCUUUACCCAGCACCUAGCGGUGCUGAGACCCGCCUGGGCCAGCACAGAGCGCAGAGCAGUACGGGUACGGAGAAACGCCGGACUCAGUGAAACCAGCCUUGCCUCCAGCGGAUUCCCCGGCUUCGCCGGACGCCACAGGCAGAGUGCCGCGGGGAAACCUCUGGCUCCCUAAACCGAUUAGAUUGUGGGAGUGGGGGGGACACUCACAAGUUGUGUGGAAGGGAACCAGCGGCAAUGGGACCCGGCGAGCACUUGCCCGCAGCAAAUGCCUGCGCUGCUGCAAAAAAAACAACUUUUGGCGCAAAGAAUGUUGCGGCCAGAGAGCAUCCGCUGUCGCUGACAAAGGAGUAGCAAUGGCAAUGAGAAACCGCCGGCGCCACGGCCGACCGCGGCGGCUCACGCCUAUGAUCCUUGCAGUUUGGGAGGCCGAGGUGGGCGCAUUACUUGAGAUCAGGAGACUAGCCUGGCCAACAAGGUGAAACCCCAUCUCUACUAAAAUACAAAAGAUUAGCCGGUUGUGGUGGCAGGCACCUGUAAUCCCAGCUACUCCGGAGGCUGAGGCAGAAGAAUCGAUUGAACUCAGGAGGCAGAGGUUGCAGUGAGCCAAGAUCGCGCCACUGCACUCCAGCCUGGGAGACAGAGUGAGCUCCGUCUCAAAAAAAAGAAAGAAACCGCUGGCGCCGGGAAAGGAGCCGUGCAGCGAUGGACCCAUGGUGCGCUCCGUGCUACCAAAGUGCUGUGGCCUCUACCCACUCUCGAUUCCCAAGGCUGUUUUUCGGGCUUAGGGAAGUCUGUUAUAUUUUUAUUUCUGCUUCUUUCUUUUCUUUCUUUUAUUUCUUUCUUUCUUUUUCUUUCUUUCAUUCUUUCUUUUUCUUUUUCUUUCUUCUUUCCUUUCUUUCUCUCUUUCCUUUUUUUCUUUUUCUCUUUAUUUCUUUUUUCUUUAUUUUUUUUUUUAACAGUAUCUUGCUCUGUUGCCCAGGCUGGUGCAGUGGCGUGAUCACUGCUCAGUGCAGCCUCGCCUUCUUGGGCUCCAGCUAUCCUCCCGCCUCAGCCUGUGGAGCAGCUGGGACCACAGGUGCGCGACACCACACCCGACUAAUUUUUUGUAGUUUUUGUAGGGUCUCGUUUUGUUGCCUAGGCUGUUCUCGAACUCCUGAGCUCAAGCAGUCCGUCCGCCUGGGCGGACUAAUAUCACAAAGCGCUAGAAUCACAGGCAUGAGCCACCGUGCUGGGAGGGAAGUCUGUAUUGUUGCUGCGUUCAACCCAGUGCAUAGUGCAUGAGAAGAGGAGGCAGUUUAGGGGCCCAGAACCAAGCGGAUGGGGCUGGUUGCAGGAACAAAGUAAAAACCAUUCUGAUUGCCAACAGCUGCCUACGCAGGAAACACCCUUCCAACCUCCGUGGCGGGGCUCUCCCAGGCCACCCCUCGGUCCCAGAGUCUCCUCCCCGUCCAGAGCUCUCAGGAUCCUACAGAAGGGGCGGACAACUCUUCCCUUCCAAACUGGAAAGUCGGCCUAGGUUUCCGAGGAUAAUGAAAGGCACAGCGUUUUUUGACCUCGACUUCAGGCCUGACCCCCCACUCUCUCGGUCCCGUACCUCUUCUGCGGGAUGUAACUCUGUGGGAACCGCUCCUUUAUUCUGAUGAUUAACUGUCUGAUAUCCUUGAUAUUUGGGGAUAGUAGAUGAAAGAGAGCAGGAGAGAAAAAUGGACGGCAAGACUCCAGCUCAGAAGGUGGGAAUGAUGGCAAAAGUCCGCUACCUCUCCAAGCCCAAUAAACAUCUCAAACUGCUCUACACUUUUCUGUACCCUUGAUCUGUGAAAUGGAUCACUGACGUUUUCUGUCUUUCGGGAAAUGCAAAGCAGGCGAAUUUUCAAGCGCUUGAAUUCCCUCUUUUUCCUACUUUUCAGUCAGAGUGGAGCUAAAAACUCCUUCCCCAUAGGAAAUAUGGAACUGCCUCUGCCCGGAAGAAAAACGUCCCUUUUCCCUAAGCUUUCACAUUUCCCGAAAAAUCUACACAUCCGCAUGAAAUCCUCACAAGAGACCUACAGACCCUACCGGGAGCGUUCCUGUCACUACAAAAAAUUUAAAAAUUAGCCGGAUGCGGUCGCGGGUGCCUGUAGUCCCAGGUACCAGGGAGGCUGAGGUGGGAGGAUCUCUUGAGCCCAGGAGGUCCAGGAUGCAGUUAACGAUGAUCCUAAGACCACGAGGCAAUUGGAGGAUCCUCAAAUACCAGGGAGAAACUAGCUAGCAGACAUAGUAUGGUGGGAGGGGAAGAUCAAGGCAAAUGCCUUGGGAGUGGGUGAGAAUUGCGACUUCAUAUUGGAUCUCCUGACCUGUGAAGGCCCUUUUCUAGGCUCCUCUGGACCUGUCCUCUGCCCAGGUUCAACCAGAAAAGGAUGGAGUUUGUUGCAUGGUAUCAUCAGGGUGAGGUUGGGAGAUGAUGCGGGAACGCUCAUCCCUGGUCUUAGGAACGGGAGAACAAAGGAAAAAUGGCAUCAUUUCCACCUAAAAAGUUACAAGCACUUCACCAGAAGGAACAGCCCAGGCGGAGCCUUUGUAAAAGAAAAGCCCCACCCACUGCUUCGCACUCCUCAUUUCCACCCAGCAGAGCAUUUUAGUGACAAAGCUGAGCGGGAGCCAGAGUUCACUCCUGUAAUCCCAGCACUUUGGGAGGCCCAGGCGGGAGGAUCACUUUAACCCACGCGUUCAGGACCAUCCGAAGCACAUAGCAAGACCGUGCCACUACAAAAAAUUUAAAAAAUUAGCGGGAUGCAGUCGCGGGUGCCUGUAGUCCCAGCUACCAAGGAGGCUGACGUGGGAGGAUCUCUUGAGCCCAGGAGGUCCAGGCUGCAGUGAACGAUGAUCCUUCACGGCACCACUGCACUCCAGCCUGGGUGACAGACUGAGACUUUGUCUCAAAAAAUAAAAUGAAAUAAAAAUACAGCCGAGAUUAGGAACUCUUUAAGAAGGGGUCACCUGAGACAUUAUUAGUAUACCAUUAACAGGAGAAAAUGCUGCAAAUUAAAGUAUCAUAAUGGUAGGAGGCUACCCAUUUAAAAAUAUAUACCUGUUUCAGAGACACUAAAGUGAGAAAAAAUUUACUCUAGAAUUGAUUAAAUUCAGAUAUCCACUGCUUUAUUUUAAACCUUAAGUGCCAUUUUAGUUUAUUUACCUCUUAGAAAUAGCAUGGAGAUUGGAGUUGUAAUUUUUUAAUAUUUAUUUAUUUAUUUAUUUAGAGACAGAGUCUGGCUCUGUUGCCCAGGCUGGAGUGCAGUGGUGUGAUCUCAGCUCACUGCAGCCUCUGCCUCCCGGGUUCAAGCUAUUCUGAGGCCUCAUAUCUGGGAACCUGCCCCAAUAGUCACAUAGGUUCUUUUCUAUUUUCCCUAAGCAUCGGCCGGUUUGAGAAAUAAAGGGACAGAGUACAAAAGAGAGAAAUUCUAAAGCUGGGUGUCUAGGGGAGACCUCACAUGUCAGUAGGUUCUGUGAUGCCCCACAAGCUGUAAAACCAGCAAGUUUUUAUUAGGGACUUUCGAAAGGGGAGGGAGUGUACGAAUAGGGUGUGGGUCACAAAGAUCACAUACUUCACAAGGUAAUAGAAUAUCACAAGGCAAAUGGAGGCAGGGCGAGAUCACAGGACCACAGGACCGGGGUGAAAUUCAAAUUGCUAAUGAAGUUUUGGGCACCAUUGUCAUUGAUAACAUCUUAUCAGGAGACAGGGUUUUGAGAGCAACUGGUCUGACCAAAAUUUAUUAGGCGGGAAUUUCCCCUUCCUGAUAAGCCUGGGAGCACUAUGGGAGACUGGGGUUUAUUUCAUCCCUACAGUCUCGACCAUAGAAGACGGCCACACCCAAGGGGGGCAUCUAUAGACCCACCCUCAGGUGCGUAUUCUCUUUCCCAGGGAUGUUCCUUGCUGAGAAAAAGAAUUCAGCAAUAUUUCUUCCAUUUGCUUUUGAAAGAAGAGAAAUAUGGCUCUGUUCCGCCUGGCUUUUUCCCAGCGGUCAGAGUUUAAGGUUAUCUCUCUUGUUUCCUAAACAUUGCUGUUAUACUGUUCUUUUUUCAAGGUGCCCAGAUUUCAUACUGUUUAAACACACAUGCUCUACAAUUUGUGGAGUUAAUGCAAUUAUCACAGGGUCCUGAGGCGACAUACAUUCUCCUCGGCUUACGAGAUGACAGGAUUAAGAGAUUAAAGUAAAGACAGGCAUAGGAAAUCACAAGGGCAUUGAUUGGAGAAGAGAUAAGUGUCCUUGAAAUCUUCACAAUUUAUGUUUAGAGAUUGCAGUAAAGAUAGGCAUAAGAAAUUAUAAAAGUAUUAAUUUGGGGAACUAAUAAACGUCCAUGAAAUCUUCACAAUCCACGUUCUUCUGCCAUGGCUUCGGCCGGUCCCUCCUUUUGGGGUCCCUGACUUCCCGCUACAGCCUCAGCCUCCCAAGUAGCGGGGAUUACAGGCACCAGCCACAAUGCUCAGCAAUUUUUUUGUAUUUUUAGUAGAGAGGGGGUCUCGCCAUUUUGUCCAGUCUGGUCUUGAACUCCUGACUUCUAUAUGAUUGUAUUUGUUUUUUCACAAUGUAGUUCAAUACAUUGAAAUGGUUGGGCAAGUGGCAAAAUCAUAUUCCUCACUCCUCUGGUUUUUUAUAAGGUUCAAUUUAUCAUAAAUACUUUCCACUUCUUGCCUCAUCUUUUACUUCUCCUCACAUAUUGAGUGGUUCAUGGCACAAAAAUCAUUAUUUGUGACAGACACUGUGCCAACUGUAUUUUGUGCUUUAUCUGAUUUCAUUCUCAACUGAAAACUGCGGCAAGCACAUGCUUUGUACUGGGCUUGCUUCUCAUUUCCAUUUUGUAGAUACACACCCUCACUUAGGGAAGUAUGAGUUUGUACAGCUCUGCCUGUGGCUGAAUAGAUAAAUGUAAUUUUACCAUUCAGUGUUAAAUCAACUUUUAGUGUAAAUUUAAGGCCCAUCUUCUAACAUAGGGGUACGUGUGAUUUUACUGUGUCCCUUCUCCCUAACACUCCAGUUCAAGAUAGCAACCUAAAUUCUGAGUUGAUUAUUCUGGACACACUCCCUCAAAAUGCGACUGUAAGACACCAGAAUACACCACCCCAGUAUGCCAAUAUAUCAAUAUACCUCUGGCGUAUUGAUUAUUUCAGGCCAGGCAUGGUGGCUCACACCUGUAAUCCUAGUGCUUUGAGAGGCCAGGAGUUCAUGAGCAGCCUGGGCAUGUAGGGAGACCCAUCUCUAUAAAAAUAUUUUUAAAAGAUUAGCUGGGCAUGGUGGCAUGUGCCUGUAGUCUUAGCUGCUGGGGAGGCUAAGGCAGGAGGAUGGCUUGAGCCCAGGAGUUUGAAGUUGCAGUGAACUCUGAUUGCACCACUGCAUUCUAGCCUGGGUGACAGAGUAAGACGCUAUCUCUUAAAAAACAAAACAAAACACUCACGCCUGUAAUCCCAGCACAUUGAGAGGCCAAGGUGGGCAGAUCACUUGAGGUCAGGAGUUUGAGACCAGCCUGGCCAACAUGGUGAAACCCCGUUUCUACUAAAAAUACCAAAAUGAGCCAGGCGUGGUGGCACGCAGCUGUAAUCUCAGCUACUUGAGAGGCUGAGGUGGGAGAAUUGUUUAAACCCAGGAGGCAGAGGUUGCAGUGAGCCAAGAUCGCACCAAACCACUCCAGGCUGGGCAACAGAGCAAGACUCCAUCUCAAACAAAACAAAACGAGAUGAGAGAAAAACCUCAACCUGUACACCUCUUUAUGACAGAACAACACAGAAAGAGAAAGACAAAGAAAAGACUACUCUAGGAGGAAAUGGAUGAAACAAUAUGAUUCUUACCACAAAGUACCAGAAAGUACACCAUAGUCAAUACACCAGCACUGGUCACACAAAUCCUUUUCUCCCAUCAGUCAAAAUUUUGGACAGGAAAAAUGAACAGAGUGAUAUUUACUGUCUACUUGACCAAAUUCCACAGAGAGGGGCCUGGAAUCUGACUGGUAAGAAAUUCUUAUCCUUAGGCUGGCUGAUUAGCUCCUGGUUUUCCUUAACUGUGGGCUUCCAAAAGAGCCAACCUUUGGGUUCCUGCUUACAACACCAAAUUUCUAGGGGCCAAGGGAAAUCUUUCUCUUAGCACUCUGAAAGUUUGUUGUAAAAUCGACUUGCAAAAACAGAAGAUUAACAGGAGAAAACACAUACAAAAUGUAUAAUUGCCCAAACCCCCAGUGAGGUGCAGGAGCUUAUAUAUCAUCUUGAGAUUACAGAAAGAAGUGGAUCAUGGCAGAACUGGUUAUAGGAGGGAGAGAAGAUGAGGUCUGCUAGCAAUGGUAGUCUUGUUAUGUACAUGAAACCUCACAGAUAGCAUCCCUCAGAGAACUGUUUCCUUAAGACCUUUAAAGGUGUCAGACUCUCAUUAAUCCUUCCUACAUCUGGAAAAGAGAAGGCCUGUAUAUAUCAAUGCACGAUGGCAUUGCAGGGCUACUUCUUUUGCUGCCUCUGACAGCCAUCUCAAAAUAUGUCAAAGAAAUAUAUUUUGGGGUAAAACAUUUUUCUUUCUUUCAAAGUGGAAUAUUAAGCGUACGUCUCUUAUAGAUACACUUUUAAAUAAAUAAGGGAAUCCACUUUUUCUAAUUUGUUAAGAUAUUUUUUGUUUUAAUAAUGAAGAGAGGUUAACUUUUAAAAAGGUUUUCUACAUCUACUGAUAUUAUCAUGUGGUUUUAUUUCUUUUUACUGUUAAUGCGGUGAAUAAUAUUGAUUGAUUUUCAAAUGCGAGUUCCUGGAGUAAAUCCCACUAGGUCAUGAUGUAUUUUUAAAAUAUAUAUAUUGCUGGAUUCAGUAUGCUAAUGCAUUAUUCAUAAUUUUUAACAUCUGUGAUCAUGAGAGACAUUGGCUGACCAAAAAUGGGAAAUUGACAAGAGUAAUAAACAAAAUGGGCUUACAAAUAUUCAUACUUGCUUGAUACUUAAAAAGGCCUUUUAAUGUAUUUUUCUGCCCCACUCAAGCAGACUUUUUAAUUUCUGGCAAGAGGUCUCAUUCAGGCUGUUCAAAGGUCAAUAUUAAUCUGAAUCAUUCCACAUUUGUAGGCAUCCUCAUUAUCUUUUCAAUACAGAUUGAAUUAUUGGGGAUUCAGACAGCAGAGGAAAAAAGUCAAAGCAUAUAAGGUAAGCAGAGCAGCAUAUUUUAUUGGUCUGGCUUCCCUAGGAAGCAUUAGCUAAAGUGAAAACUUAUGUGAGACUUUUUAAUUCAAAAGUAGUUUUUUUUUUUAAGAAAGUGGAAUUUAAGAGAGGGAAGUGGAACAGGAAGGGGUAAGGGGCAAUUCAAUGCUGUGCUACCUCAUUGGCCCAUGUGGGGUAUCAUGCAGGGCCACAGGCAAAUUAACCAUGCAGGUAAGGAAGCUUAGCUUUUAGGAGUCCUUCGAACAGGUCUGUAAUUUUGUACUGUAAAUUUUUAUUCUUUUUUUUUUUUUUGAGUUGGAGUCUCACUCUGUCGCCCAGGCUGGAGUGCAGUGGCAUGAUCUCGGCUCACUGCAACCUCCACCUCCCAGAUUCAAGUGAUUCUUGUGCCUCAGCCUCCCAGUAGCUGGGAUUACAGAUGCCUACCACCAUGCCCGGCUAAUUUUUGUAUUUUUAGUAGAGACAGAGUUUUGCCACAUUGGUCAGGCUGGUUUUGAACUCCUGACCUCAGGAGAUCCACCUGCCUUGGCCUCCCAAAGUGCUGGGAUUACUGGCGUGAGCCACGGCACCCGACCAUCUUUUUUAAAAAGAGAAUCCUCUACUACUUGUGUGAACAUUAGGUUCUACGAACUGAACCCACCCUGAACAUAACUGUUUGCUUGAUCACAUGGAACCAUCUUCUGGGAAGCCCUGACUAUGACUGCUUCUAAGAAUAAUCCAUUUAGAAGGAAAGAAAGGAGAAGAAUAUAUCCACUGUGGGAGAAAUAAAACAAUCCUGACCACGAAAAGGCCCCUGACUACCCAGUGGAGAGAGAGAACACUAAUUGAGUUAGCCUUAACAGAUUUACAUGCAUGUAAGGUAGCAUGACAACAACUAUAAAGCUGGGCCAUAUCUCAUGUGUUUUGAGCAGAGCCUCAGGAAUUAUGAGAACUUCUUUUACUGCUUCAAAAGAAAAGAAGGCACACUUUGUGACAGUUUCCUGUAUACUGAGAGACCCUCAGCUCAUCCUGUGGGUGCUUUUUAAAAACAUCUGGAUGUUAUUUUCCUAUGGUCUUGGGUAAAUUCUGGAGACUGGGCUUAAUCCCUAGAGAUAUUAUAUUUCUACUGGUAGAACAAGGAUUUAGAGUUACCAUGUUGAAUGUAAUAUCACUGUUUUAUUUUCUUCAUGGUUUUUAGGAACAGAAACACACUCAGACAUGAAAAAUUGUCCUGGUUUAAAAGGGUUCCUUUCCUUACAGGUGAGUAAGAAUUGUCACUUCCUGACAGGACCAGGAACAUCAGGAUAUUUGGAGAAUCUUAACAAAAGGAGAAUUCAUCCAAAUCUCUAGGUAUUGCAGGCAAAGUAUGAUAGCAAGAUCCUGGUUUGGUUUCCUAGCAUCUGGACGCUUUUAAAAGUCUAAUUUGAGAUUCCUUAUGAAAAUGUCCAGGUAAGUCAACUUAAAGAGAGCCUACACUGCAGCAUAAGUUCCUAGUUAUCAUUGCUAAAGUAAAGUUAUCAUUGCUGAGAGUACCAUAUCAUCCUCUGGAGAAACUGAACCUCUAUAGAGUUAGUUCUACUUAUAGUGCAAAACAGUGCUUCAAGUUAGAGUCAGCAUAUUUACUGAUUCUAUGCAGUAACCAGUGUUAUCUAUGUUUCUCCAGACUUGUCAAAUUAUACCUUUUUCUUUAAUCAGGGUGGGCUCAUAGUUGUCACAAUUUGUGUACUAGGGGUGAGAGAAACUGUGGUUCUUCUCUCUAAAGAGCUCGAAUUUUGUCUGACCUCGUUUUCUUUUUUUUUCUUUUUUUUUUUUUUUCAGUGUUUCUUUGUUGCCCAGGCUGGAGUGCAAUGGCAUGACCUCAGCUCACUGCAACCUCCACCUCCCCAGUUCAAGAGAUUCUCCUGCCUCAGCCUCCUGAGUAGCUGGGAUUACAGGCAUGUACCACCGUGCCUGGCUAAUUUUGUAUUUUUUAGUAGACACACGGUUUCUCCAUGUUGGUCAGGCUGGUCUCGAACUCCUGACCUCAGGUGAUCCACCCGCCUCAGCCCCCCAAAGUGCUGGGAUUACAGGUGUUAGCCGUGGCGCCCAGCCCUGUCUGACCUACUUUUCAAAACCAAAAAGAUGAGCAAUAAGAGGGCAGUUAAUUAGCAAGACCUCCUUCCCUAAGAUCUUAUUCUAAGGUUGGGAGAUAGGACAACAGACAGGAAGAAAGACGUCAGAAAUAUACAUUUAAGAGAAAAAUGUUCUUUUGGCAGGCCUAAGACAUUUUCUAUUAGAGUGUGUUAAGGGUCUCUACUAGCAUCUUCAGAUUGUUCUGUCAUCACCACCAGUGUUUUCUGAAACCCUCCUCCUUUUCCCACCCCCUCCCUCCCACUCCAGAAAAACCACACACAAGGUUAAGCCUCCUAUCCAGUGUCUCCUGGAAGUCUAAGGAAGUCACAGGUGCCUCUGUGGUCUGGGGAUCCCAGUCUUGGAAUGGGAGUGAGUUCUGGGACAAAGGUGAAAUCAGACAUGGUAAAUCAGAUACCUAGCCUGUUGUAGGCUGGUGGUUUAAAUGUUAGGAUUCUGGCGUGAUCCUGCUGUGGUUCAAAUUUCUCACCUCUUUGACUUUCAGAAGUUAGUUUAAUCCUUGUGUUUCAUUCCCAUUGUUAGUAAAACCAGAUAUAAUUGCGGUACUCAUUAUAUCAGUGAGGUUAAUGGGUAUCCUUCCUUAAGCAUAGUCUAGCACCAUUUAAAAUAAUAAAUAUUAACUAGGAUUUUAUUCUAAUUACUCCUUUCCAGCAAUUCUGGGGGCUAAGUUUUCCCCAGUGUUAGUUCUGUAGUGCGUGAAAGCUCAGACUUUCUUCUCUGGAAGCUACUUUCUAAACUCCUUUCACCCCACCUCUUUAUUAACUAAGAUAUCCACCUCACCCUUUCCAUCUUUUCCUGUCACCAACAUUCUCUGUGCCUCCCUCACUGUUCUGAGGCUGUAUCAUAUCCAGAAAAUAAUCAUCAGUCAUUUCAUAGUAAAUUGUAAGAGCAUUGCUAGUGUUCACAUGUUUAAUCACGGGAUGAUACUUCUGCCAUUUCAUCCUCAAUUCUGAUACCUCCAGUUCGUGUUUGCUUAUGAAACAGGGACCACUUGAGGGACUGAUGAGUUUGUUGCAUGUUGUAGGCACUGAUGUGCUUUUAUUUAACUACACUGGUUUUCUGGUUUUAUCAUUUUUCUCAUAGUUGUCACCAACUUGUGGUCUCAUAAUUGUUACCAACUUGUGAAGUAGGGGUGAGAGAAACUGUGGUACUUCUCUCUAAAUAGCUUGAAUUUCGUCUGACCUAGUUUUCAAAAGCAAAAAAAAAUGAACAGUAACAGUGCAGUUAAUUAGUAAGACCUCCUUACCUAAGAUCUCAUUCUAAGGUCUGAGAGAUAGGACAACAGACAGGAAGAGGGUUGUCAGAAAAAUACAUUUAAGACAGAAAUGUUCGGCCAGGCACCGUGGCUCAUGCCUGUAAUCCCAGCACUUUGGAAGGCCAAGGCGGGUGGAUCACGAGGUCAAGAGAUCAAGACCAUAUACAAAUACAAAAUUAGCUUGGCGUGGUGGUGCACACCUGUAAUCCCAGCUACUCUGGAGGCUAAGGCAGGAGAAUCACUUGAACCAGGGAGGCGGAGGUUGCAGUGAGCCAAGAUGGUGCCACUGCACUCCAGCCUGGUGACAGAGCAAGACUCCGUCUUGAGAGAGAGAGAGAGAGAGAGAGAAAUGUUUUUUGGCAGGCGUUAAGACCCUAAUGGAACACAUGUUUAAAAAAAAUGGUGGGGGGGGGAAGAGAAAAAUCAUUAAAGAUGAAAAAUUGCCAGAAAUUCCCCUGUGUACUUUUCCCCUUGCCUCUUACUUUCUGGUUUCUGAAACAAUAACUGAUCAAUGGGGUGUGGUGAGGGAGUAGAGAAAGAAUGAAUAGCCCUGAAUGCACUGAUAAUAGACUGCUUGCCAAUAACCACUGAUAGAGUUUGAAUACAAUUCUACAAUGGGAAAAAAUGUUUUUAAACAUAUGUCUGAUGAAGGAUUGCUAUCCAGAAUAAAUUAACACUUUCUAAAACUCAUCAUUAAAAAACAAACAACCCAUUUCAAAAAUGGGCAGAGGACUUAAAUAGACAUUUCUCCAAAGAAGACAUACAAAUGGCCAAUAAGCACAUGAAAAAAAUAUGUCCAGCAUCACUAAUUCUUAGGGAAAUGCAAAUCAAAACUACAGUGAGAUACAGGUACCACUGCACAUCCACUAGGAUGGCUACUAUCAAAAAAAAAAAAGAUAAUAAGAGUUGGCAAGGAUAUAAGGAGUUUGGAACCCCUAUGUAUGCACUGUUGUAAGCAUGUAAAUUGGUACAGCCAAUGUAGAAAACAGAAAGUUCCUCAACAAAUUAAAAAUAGAAUUACCAUAUGACCCAGCAAUUUCACUUCUGGACAUAUACUCAAAAUAAUUAAAAGCAGAGUCUCAGGAAGAUAUUUGUACACCCAAGUUCAUAGCAGCAUUACGCAUAAUAGCAAAGAUGAGGAAGCAACUCAAGUGUCCAUUCACACAUGAAAGGAUAAGCAAGACAUGGUACAUAUAGACAGUCAGCCUUUAAAAAGAAGGAAAUGCUAAUAUGCUACAUCACAGAUGAACCUAAGGGACAUUAUACUAAAUGAAAUAAGCCAGGCACAAGAAGACAAAUACUGUAUGAUUCCACUUACAUGGGGUACUUAGGGUAGUCAACAUCAUAGACACAAUGCAGAAAGGUGGUUGCCUGGCAUGGGGGAGAGGAAAGUAGGGAGUUAUUCUUUAAAGGAUACAGAGUUUCACUUUUAGAAGACACAAAGAGUUGUGGAGAUGGAUGAUGACAAUGGUUGCAAAGCAUUAUGAACUGUACACUUAAUGGUUAAGAUGGUAAAUUUUGUGUGUAUUUUACAGAGAGAGAGAGAGAGAACUGGGCACCCGCUCUUGCAUUCUCUUCACUAAAAUCCCAAAUGUUCAUUUACAGAUAGUCACCCAUAAGCGUUUUUCUCCCAGCAGAACAGAAUUCCAGUCUCUGCUCAGGAGUAGCAAUCUGACUUGGGGAAAUGAUAAACUUUCUAUAAACCAGGGUCCCCCAGAACAGCUUUCUCUUCAUAGGCCCAGUACUAAUUUUUCUUUUCAUCCCCUGAGACAAACUAUUUGUCUCUGGAUAGCUUUCACAUGAGAUGAUAGAACUUGAUGUUAAUGUCAUUAAUUCUGUUUUCAUAUGCAAUCUGCUUCUAGGAUUAAUGUCACCAGCCAGGUUCCUAACCUAUGUGGAACACCCAGGGCCAGAAGAGUCUAAAAUUGCAAAAGCUCGUGGCUCCUGAGUCCAAGAGUUCCUGGUUUUCCUGGACACAAGCGAUAGCGCAGCACUUUCUUCCCCAUGUGCCAGAGGCCUAGGGUUCUGCAGAAGAGGCCCCAAGGCCCCAGACGCUGCAAGCCCUAAGCUCAGUAUAUUCUAGGCCCUGUCCUCUCACUUUCUAUUUCUUGUGUGGCCCCCAAACUUGUGCCAGCUAUCCUGGAACAGCCAAGAAUUCAACUGUGACCUGCUUCCUCCCUCAACCUCUUCUCCCCAACCUCCCCACCACACUUCUUCUUUGGGAAGAUUUGUAAAAAUUAAGGUUAUUAUAUCCAUGUAACUUUCUGUAUUUCUUUUAAACUCCUUGUGCUACUAAGUCACACAGGUUUGACUCCUGGAUCUAAAAAAGUCACCAACUCUGGCUAAAUCUUAAACAUUGACAGCAAUUGAAGCCUCAUCUUCAGACCUAGGAGAAGAUGAAAAUCAGAAUAAGCUGCAGUCAUAAGACAUGGGUCCAGAAAUUAAAACUAUUCAACCCCUCUAGUCCCAGGGACUAUUGCAGAAGAAGUGGGUGUGUGAGCUUGUAAGGAUCCAUUUUAAGAGAUAAAAUUAAUUCAGAGUUUCUCUAUAAAUUAAACAGUUGCAUUUGUUGUUGUUUUGAGACAGUCCAGCUAUGUCAUCUGGGCUGGAGUGCAGUGGCAUUAUCCUGGCUCACUGCAACCUCUGCCUGGCAAGAUUCCUGGCACCUCAGCCUCCCAAGUAGCAGGGACUACAGGGGUGCACCACCAUGCCUGGCUAAUUUUUGUAUUUUUAUAGAGACAAGGUUUCACCAUGUUGCCCAAGCUGGUCUCAAACUCCUGAACUCAAGAUAUCCGCCUGCCUAGGCCUUCCAAAGUGCUGAUUUUACAGCUAUGAGCCACCGUGGCCAGCCUAUAAAUUAAACAUUAAUGUCAAAGGAACACUGAUGCAAGACAAGCAUGUGGGUCCCUGUGUCAGAUUAACAAUGUUUUCUUGGAGCAUUAACACAUUCCUUACUUAAAAAUUAUGAAAGGUUAUGAGAAGGUUUACAAAAAUUAUAUCUUACACUCAAGAUUAUUAAAAUUUAAUAGAUUUGUCUGUAAAUUUAAUUGACUUCAUCCUGUCUUUAUUAGGUUUUAUUGUUUGGGAAAGUAAGUCUCAAAGAGUAAAAGUUUUUGCCUUUUUGUUUUUAAAAUAUUUGAGUUACCACUUUGACUAAAUGAAUGACUUAUUUUACAAUGACCUGUGAUGCUAUUUUGUGAUAUUGUGUUUUCAACCUUUGAUGUUUGACAAACUUUCCAAAAUCUAAAUCUAAAUUCAGGGCUUUGGUCUCACUAAUUUUUUUGACAUUACAUCCCCUGAAAUCCAAAGAGACAUAUUUGGCUUACUUGGUAUAAUAAAAUCUUCGUUAUCAAAUAUGAAAUGAUGUGUAAACUUUUUUGGCUUGUAUUUAUAUAAAUGUGUUAUUAGUAUGUGUUCCAAAAUUGUAUGAGAUUCUUGUGAUUCUGAUAUGUCUUAGAAUAUGUUAUCAGAACUAAUUAUGAUUAUUAUAUUAAAUUGUUAUGUGCCGUAGAUACAACCAAAUUUCCUUGUCAAUUGUGUCUUUAACCAUGGCUGUUCUAAUUCUUUUGUCAUCCACAAUCAUUGUUUUACUUUGAUCCUUUCUUAAGGUG